rnacentral:rRNA from 1 species
AUACGGAGGAUGCGAGCGUUAUCCGGAUUUAUUGGGUUUAAAGGGAGCGUAGGUGGGAUAUUAAGUCAGCUGUGAAAGUUUGGGGCUCAACCUUAAAAUUGCAGUUGAUACUGGUUUCCUUGAGUACGGUACAGGUGGGCGGAAUUCGUGGUGUAGCGGUGAAAUGCUUAGAUAUCACGAAGAACUCCGAUCGCGAAGGCAGCUCACCGGGCCGGAACUGACACUGAUGCUCGAAAGUGCGGGUAUCAAACAGGAUUAGAUACCCUGGUAGUCCGCACAGUAAACGAUGAAUACUCGCUGUUUGCGGUACACUGUAAGCGGCCAAGCGAAAGCGUUAAGUAUUCCACCUGGGGAGUACGCCGGCAACGGUGAAACUCAAAUGAAUUGACGGGG